GAUGAAGAACGUAGCGAAAUGCGAUAAGUAAUGUGAAUUGCAGAAUUCAGUGAAUCAUCGAAUCUUUGAACGCACAUUGCGCCCGCCAGUAUUCUGGCGGGCAUGCCUGUCCGAGCGUCAUUUCAACCCUCGAACCCCUCCGGGGGGUCGGCGUUGGGGAUCGGCCCUCCCUUAGCGGGUGGCCGUCUCCGAAAUACAGUGGCGGUCUCGCCGCAGCCUCUCCUGCGCAGUAGUUUGCACACUCGCAUCGGGAGCGCGGCGCGUCCACAGCCGUUAAACACCCCACUUCUUCAAGGUUGACCUCGGAUCAGGUAGGAAUACCCGCUGAACUUAAGCAUAUCAAUAAGCGGAGGA
rnacentral:misc_RNA from 1 species